GGGGCCGUAGUCUAGUCAGGUAUGACGACGGGCUCCAGACCCGUAGGUCGUCGGUUCAAAUCCGGCCGGCCCCACCA
rnacentral:tRNA from 1 species